rnacentral:rRNA from 1 species
GAUGAACGCUAGCGGCAGGCCUAACACAUGCAAGUCGAGGGGUAGCAGGAUUAAGCUUGCUUAAUUGCUGACGAUCGGCGCACGGGUGCGUAACGCGAAUGCAACCUACCUUAUACUGGGGUAUAGCCCGGAGAAAUUCGGAUUAAUCCCCCAUAGUACUAAUGAAUCGCAUGGUUUAUUAGUUAAAGCAUUGCGGUAUAAGAUGGGCAUGCGUCCUAUUAGCUAGAUGGUGAGGUAACGGCUCACCAUGGCUACGAUAGGUAGGGGGCCUGAGAGGGUGGUCCCCCACACUGGUACUGAGACACGGACCAGACUCCUACGGGAGGCAGCAGUGAGGAAUAUUGGUCAAUGGGCGCAAGCCUGAACCAGCCAUGCCGCGUGCAGGAAGAAUGCCCUAUGGGUUGUAAACUGCUUUUAUUUGGGAAUAAACCUCUUUACGUGUAGAGAGCUGAAGGUACCAAAUGAAUAAGCACCGGCUAACUCCGUGCCAGCCGCCGCAGUAA